rnacentral:rRNA from 1 species
AUACGGAGGAUGCGAGCGUUAUCCGGAUUUAUUGGGUUUAAAGGGAGCGUAGGUGGACAGUUAAGUCAGUUGUGAAAGUUUGCGGCUCAACCGUAAAAUUGCAGUUGAUACUGGCUGUCUUGAGUACAGUAGAGGUGGGCGGAAUUCGUGGGGUAGCGGUGAAAUGCUUAGAUAUCACGAAGAACACCGAUUGCGUAGGCAGCUGACCAGACCGCAAAUGACGCUCAUGCACGAAAGUGCGGGGAUCGAACAGGAUUAGAUACCCUGGUAGUCCGCACAGUAAACGAUGAAUACUUGUUUUCGGCGAUAUAAUGUCGGAGGCAAAGCGAAAGCGAUAAGUAUUCCACCUGGGGAGUACGCCGGCAACGGUGAAACUUAAAGGAAUUGACGGGG